rnacentral:other from 12 species
CUGACUAUGUGAUCUUAUUAAAAUUAGGUUAAAUUUCGAGGUUAAAAAUAGUUUUAAUAUUGCUAUAGUCUUAGAGGUCUUGUAUAUUUAUACUUACCACACAAGAUGGACCGGAGCAGCCCUCCAAUAUCUAGUGUACCCUCGUGCUCGCUCAAACAUUAAGUGGUGUUGUGCGAAAAGAAUCUCACUUCAAGAAAAAGAA